rnacentral:rRNA from 1 species
GAUGAACGCUGGCGGCGUGCCUAAUACAUGCAAGUAGAACGCUGAAGGAAGGAGCUUGCUCUUUCCGGAUGAGUUGCGAACGGGUGAGUAACGCGUAGGUAACCUGCCUGGUAGCGGGGGAUAACUAUUGGAAACGAUAGCUAAUACCGCAUAACAGUAGAUGUUGCAUGAUAUCUACUUAAAAGGUGCAAUUGCACCACUACCAGAUGGACCUGCGUUGUAUUAGCUAGUUGGUGAGGUAACGGCUCACCAAGGCGACGAUACAUAGCCGACCUGAGAGGGUGAUCGGCCACACUGGGACUGAGACACGGCCCAGACUCCUACGGGAGGCAGCAGUAGGGAAUCUUCGGCAAUGGACGGAAGUCUGACCGAGCAACGCCGAGUGAGUGAAGAAGGUUUUCGGAUCGUAAAGCUCGGUUGUAAGAGAAGAACGAGUGUGAGAGUGGAAAGUUCACACUGUGACGGUAUCUUACCAGAAAGGGACGGCUAACUACGUG